GGGCGCGUAGCUCAGUCGGUUAGAGCGCGUCUCUGAUAAAGACGAGGUCGAAAGUUCGAUUCUUUCCGCGCCCA
rnacentral:tRNA from 1 species